rnacentral:rRNA from 1 species
CCAGCGAACUUGGCAGAGAUGCCUUGGUGCCUUCGGGAACGCUGAGACAGGUGCUGCAUGGCUGUCGUCAGCUCGUGUUGUGAAAUGUUGGGUUAAGUCCCGCAACGAGCGCAACCCUUAUCCUUUGUUGCCAGCGAUUCGAUCGGGAACUCAAAGGAGACUGCCGGUGAUAAACCGGAGGAAGGUGGGGAUGACGUCAAGUCAUCAUGGCCCUUACGAGUAGGGCUACACACGUGCUACAAUGGCGCAUACAAAGAGAAGCGACCUCGCGAGAGCAAGCGGACCUCAUAAAGUGCGUCGUAGUCCGGAUCGGAGUCUGCAACUCGACUCCGUGAAGUCGGAAUCGCUAGUAAUCGUGGAUCAGAAUGCCACGGUGAAUACGUUCCCGGGCCUUGUACACACCGCCCGUCACACCAUGGGAGUGGGUUGCAAAAGAAGUAGGUAGCUUAACCUUCGGGAGGGCGCUUACCACUUUGUGAUUCAUGACUGGGGUGAAGUCGUAACAAGGUAAGCGUAGCGAG